GUUUUUUUGUGUGUGUUUAGAGUCCCCAAACAUAUGUGCCUUAUUAAAGUGCUGCCCAUUUCAUAGGCUUUAUCUUGCACUGGAUGAUCUCUGGUGGUAGGGAUAUUCAAGCUGCUUUAUACAUUUAGUUGUCCCUGAGUGUCUUUUUGACAGUCUGUUCCAGAUUCUAAUGAUUUUACAUUAAGAUUCAGGGACUCGGUAAUCUCUCCCCUCCCAGUCCCCAACAACAAUAGAAAUAUCAACUCUUCAGCCCUAAAUCAAACACAAAUCUCUCUGAAAUCCUCACCUGGAGCCAUCUUUCAUAGGUCUCUUUUCCCUGUGACUGCUGCAAUCCAUGGGAUCUGCAGUAGUCUUCCUGCUGGAGAAAAUAAAAACAGAUGACAUGAAUCAGGACCUCUUCUUGACAGGAACGAGGUGGAGGGGCUGCUCUCGGACAGCAGGUACACCAUAAAUUGCUGGUUAAGCCUCGCCAACAUUUCUGCAGACGCAUUGGGCUGUGGGAGGUUUGGGCUGCUCCAUUCUUCCACAUUGGUUAUCGUCUUUCAUUUCUUUUACACCUGAUACCAUGUGGUUUACAGAAAUCUCUCUGGACCCAAUAAACCAUGGAAGUGAGCCUCCUUAUUCUGUUUUCUUUCUUCUCCUGCCCUUCUUCAUUCAUUUCCUGGCUCUAAAGCUAAGCAACCAAAUCCCCCAGGGUUCCCUGGUAAGCAAAGGGCAGCCAGAAAUGGCAGGAAAAAGGGUCCUGCCCGAGCGCAAAAGGAAAGGGAAGGAGAGAGAGGAGUCCCCAGACCUCUUCGAGGGGAACAGGUCUGCCUGUCUGCAGCACUCCCGGGCUCUAUUACACACAAGGCGAGUAAAAGACAGGGAAAACCAGAAUUUAUAUAGCCAGGGAUCUGCAUCCCUUCAGGAAACAGUUCAUGCGCUUCUUCUUGGGGCCAGCUAGCGGCACUGGGAGGUUUGUUGUUACCCAGCCUGCAGGCCCUGACAGGCUCUGUCAACGCUGGGCUCCUCUUCUCACUUCCCUUGUGCCAGUCCCCUGGGUGCACCUGCAGGAGGAGCACGGCUGAGUGGACAGAGCAGCUGCCCACAGCCCUGCACAGGCUGAUGAGCCCUGCUUUGCCUCACCGGCGCGGCGCUGAUGGAACACGUGCAGCAACAACCAGCUCCUAAGAAGGACAAAUCCCCAGGCCUGGUUACUAGGGAUCCCACUGAUCGUAUUCCCCUGCCCUUCCAGCUCACGUGCAGGUCCCAAACAAACGGCAGCACAUGCUGAUUCGGAGUGGCAGGCGUGCUGCUGGCCAGCUGGCUGCUGCUGCUUCUCCCAGGGGAUGGGAGGCUUUUUGUUCCAGUAGUGGGGGUGGCAAUUGGGGUUUCUUUUGCCUCCAUCUGGCCACAAGCCUUCGGGUAAUUUGGGGGAAUUUCCUAUCAGUGAAGUUACUCUCUCAUCAGCUGACAGUUUCAAAAGCAAUUCAAGGGAAGAUAGGAAUGACAUCGAGAUAAAAAUGCAAUCACAGAAAGGUUGGGGGAAGUCUUCUUUCCUUCACCCACAAAUUCCUUGAUGCUGGAAAACAUCCCCCUUCCCCAUACCCUCCAAUUUGCUACAGGUUCUAACAUGAACAGCUUCUGCUGGGAGUAGCCGACUGUGCCAAAAUACAAUAGCUGCUGCUCCUCCUCUGUCCUCUCCCCAGAUGAUCACACGGUUCAGCUAUUGACAUCGCCCAGAAAAUGGAAGUUGCUCAGUGUUUACUAACCAUUCUGCUCCUCUCUGCUCUGCGCGGCCCUCUGUGGGGCAGCCAGCUCUCUGCUGUUUACAAGCCCAUCUGCUUCUGUUGCUUUUCUUCACCUGAAGUUACAGCACUCCGUUCAGGAUAUUUCUCGCAGUUGUGGUGGGAACUGUAAAGAGCAGAGGAGGAUUUCAGGUGGUAAGGAAGCAGUACGAAAAGAAGAAUACAAAUCUGUUCUUGUCUAAAUAGACCUAAAAAUAAGGAAAACAAGAAUAAGAUGGCAGAGGAAAUUCCAAACAGCCAAGGGUGGCUUCGGCAGAACAGUCAUUCCAAGGAGAGUUUUCCUUCUAUUUUUAUGAGAACUUUAACAUUUAGAAUCAAACCAGAAAGGAAAAUAACAUGUGCUCCAGUGACUAUUUCCCUGAAAUUACACUGCAGUUCCCUGCAUUUUCAAGUCUCUAGAGGCAGAGCUACAGGACUUCUUUGCCUAAACCUGUACUGCUGCUGCGAGCUGUUUAGUUCAGAGUUCUCCAUGCAGUUUAACUCAAGGCCACGUUUCCAUGGGUAAGAGGGGACCUUGGGAGUCAGAAAGACAUUGGAAACCUGUCUUCCCACACUAUGAGAACCUGGAGGCAAGCCUCAGAACCAGAGCUGCUGUCCCAGCAGCUUGAGCCUGCAAGCAUGACUGCAGGAGGGACCAGAGGGGGCUCUCCAGAGUUCCAGGCAUUUAAAAGCUCUCUGUAGCCCAGCUAGCCAGCCAAGUGUGCCAUGCUGCAAGCCUGGGCAGGCUGCUGCAGACAUCCACAGGCUGUGUGCGAGGCAGCUGCGUGGAUGGGAGGCAGACUGCUGGGGAGCAUGCUGUGCUCACAAAUGCUGGUGCAGAUUGAGGGAAUAGCUCUGAGAGCCAAGUUCCCGCGUGCCACAGCCUCUCUGUGCCUGUGCCUGGCUCAGGCUGGGGACAGGGACUGCACUGCGAUGUCUGGGCACUGCCUUGGCCACUGGUAAUCGGCAGAAGGUGGCGGUGACUUUGCUCCCAGUUCACAGCGUUGGUGCUUAGCUUGGAAGAGAAAACAGAAACAUUUUACAGAACAUACACACAUUGAAGUUCACAUUCCGUGUGGGCAAAGCCUGAGAAGGACGAGGAAAUGCUUGUGAGGUCUCAGAAGAACAUGCUGUAGGUCCCUUCUGUGCAGUUGGAUCACCGAUCUCCACCAUCUCAGGGUCAGAAACGUGCCUGGCUUAGAGAGCAACGUGAUGUCCCAGUUGGCAGCUUCCUGGUUCUGCCUUACCAGCUCAGCACGGCGUGCACAGAUCACGUCCCAAGUCUUGAGGCUAUUGAGAAAAGACGCUGUGAGCUCCUGGGAAGGGAGGAGCCUGCCAAGGCAGUCCCUCUGAGCAGCUAGGUGCAACACGCCAGCAGAAAGCAGUGCCUGUUGCAAUGCUGCAGCUCUCAGGGCCUGCGUCAGGACCUCUCCACACACAUGCUCUUCAUUAGCGCUAACCCGGGAGCAGAAACGAGAGCAAAACCUCCAAGAGGAUUAAGCACAUGGAUGGGAGCUCUGAUGCAAGGACGGAUCCAACCUGAACUUCCUCCAAAACACGCAGUCAGAUCUGGUUGCUCUGGUUUGGAUCUGAAUCUGGCAAGAUGGAAAGCAGCGCAACGAGAUGCUGAAAGAGGGGAGCAGAAAGAAAGGAAAACAGUUCCCUCCCUCUCACCCCAAAAAUGCAGUGGGCCCAGAAGCGUGCACAAUAAACUCCUCUCCUUUCCCUCACUUCGGGUUACAUUGUUCGCUUUCCUGCAAAUUGUUUCCACAUUCUGUAUAAAUAACCCCAUUGCCAGCGAGGGGGAGGGAGGGAGCAGAGGGGCACGGGGAGAAGGGGUGGGAGGAAAUCAGAUGUCUUUGUUAGUUUUCAAAAAGAAGGUGGAGGAUGGCGAGCAGCAGUUGGGAGCCGGGGCCUUGGCAGGCCGAGCAGAGAGCUGCCAUGGAGCUGUGUUCAGACCUGGAGGAAGAAGAGUAAACACGGGAGAGAUUAUAUAUAAUUACAGACAAUCAUGUUGCUGGGGAUAAACAGGAAUCAAAAGCAGGGAGGCACUGAAGUCUGGCACGUCCCCAAGCCCAGAACAGAAGCCAGCCAGCGAGAGGCAACGCGGCUGGAAAGUGCUUCCCCUUGGGCCUGUUUUCAGUUAGCUCAGGGGCUGGGUUUUUUUUUUCCCCUCUCUUUCUGGCUUGAGGCGUUCCCCCAUAAAGAGACGCGCCUGCUCACUGGGGAACAGGAGCCAAAGUGAAGUCAGCAGAAUCCCUGUCUGCGACAUUAAUAGAUUACUCUGUGAGAAACAUCAGGAACGUUUGGAAAAGAUACAGCCCGCUGAGGUCAGCAAAACCACCAACAACAGGAAUUUUGGAACAAAAAUGGCUUCAGAAGCACUCCAGAAGCUGUGCCUGCAUGUCCGGCAGGCGCUCUCCUUGUAUGGGGAAGUGACCCUGGAGAAGGAUGUGUAGGGUGGGCUGCACCUGAUGCUCCCAGCUCUCCUGGCACCAGGGUUUGUGACAAAGCAUCCAGGUCAGAACCGUGCUACCCCAGCAGCAUCAGCAGCUUUGUAUUUGCACAGCCUGAGAGAGGGAAGGAAAAAGAUUCUGCACGUACUGGAGGUGCUCUGGAUGCAGUCAGAAGAGCAGGCGCUGAUGCUCCAAGCGUUGCAGCUGAGGUGGGUGAUGCUGAGCACUCAACAGCGUCCUGCAAAGGAGGAGGGGGAAGCGAAGAAACAAAGCUGAGAAGCAAACUGAAAGGCACAUGGCCCACACGGGUGUUUUGUUGUUUUUGUUGUGUUGUGUUUUUUUUUUGUUUUUUUUUUUUAAAAAAAGGACCUUGAGGGAUUUGAAAGAGGAAAGCAGCCUCGCUCAGCCUUCUUUCCCUUGAAGGCUCACUGAAGACUCAGAGGGAAGGCGACAUUGUGCCAAACAAAGGACGGCAACCUCAGCCGCUGACAGGAGGAGGGUGGUUCGGCAGUGUGAAAAGCUCUCUCCCAGGCACUAUUUUAAAUCCAAAUAGCUUACAGCCUGCUGAAUUCUUAAGCCAUUUUCCUCAUCUCUCAGCUGUUCUUCAUUGAGAAUUCAGGCAUAUAUUUCAAAGCAGCAACGCGGAGAGAAAAAUAUAUAUGUAUCUAUAUACAGAUAUACACAAGAAAUAACCAAACCUGUGGUUAAAAUCAGCAUAAGAGCACAGGAAGCAGGGCAUGCACAAAGGCUCUUCUACCUUCCCUCACUCACUAAAGGUGCUCUGAACAUCCUUUUCCUAAGGAAAGAAAACUGAUUUUUUUUUUUCAGGGAAAUGACAUUUGCUCUAUGAGAACAGUGUCACAGUGUGGUGAAUGACACCGUUAUCUGGCUACCUGGGUAUAAUAUUUGAUGUAUUUUCUGUGAAUUCAUCAUCGUGAGCAUUUUUCCACCAGGAUUUCUAAUACUGACAAAUCCUUCACCAGUGCUGGGUAUGUGUGGGACAUAUAUGCAUGUGCAGAAGUGCACAAUCUCUCCGUUGGCCAUCUCAAAAUGUAGUGGUGGCACAGACAAGGUCAGUUUAAGCACAAAGCAGGAGCCACAUUCAACUCAAAGCUGCUGGAAAUAGAUUAGAGGGGGCAGAGGGAAUGGAACUGGAAGGCAUUUGAGAUCCAAGCCUUUUCUGCUAUAAAAUUACAUUGGCUCUGUGAGGCCAUAUUUAAGCAAUCUGCACCCACAGUUCCUUCCAAAUAUCAGAUGUGAGCAUACAGAACCAAGAAUAAAACCAAGGUAGCAGAGGGGUCCCAACAAUAAGCUGGUUGUGUCCGUACGCCAUGCUGGGCAGAAACAGCACCAGGAGUUUGGCAACACGAUGAGAGAAAGGAAAGGGAGCUCUGGUCCUGACUUCUGUCCAAGGAGAAACGGGGUUACCGAUGUCCUGCAGUCACAGGUGAACACCAACCACAAGUCCCUGACAAAGGCAGGCCCCCAAACAGCCACACUGUGUUAUCAGAAAGCAAGAAUUAAAAUUUUAUCAAGAUGGAAAGAGCAGAUCCUAAGAGAGCGUGGAUUUCAGAAGCAAUCACCGCAUCGUUCCGCAGGCACCUCGGUGUGACUCGCAAGGCAGACAGAAAAUCAGAAGAGCUCCACCUAAAUAGAAACACACAGCGACUGCUUCCGGAAAGAGCCCUUGGUGGGGUAAAGCGUCUGUCCUUCCUUCUCUCUCUCUCUUUUCCUAAGGCAAAUUGGAAAAAGAAGAGUGUGAUGUUUGCAUCACAGCUUAUUUUUGCCUUGCAAAACCUAUUUGCAUGCGCUGGAGGAAAGGUUUCUUUUGGCUUGUCACAAAAUCCCGUGGCUGGUACGUUAGCUGGCAGUCUGCUUUGCAUGGGCUCAGGCAAAUCCAGCAAUCCAACCUCUGCCUUUGCUGUCAGCCCCUACACAUCCACUUUUGAAAUAAUUAUUUCCAUGGCUUAUGAAAUAACUCAUGUCACUGACAGAGUGAUGAGAGCAGCCCUCCAGGCCCGAGCUGCCAGGCGCAGGCACCUUUCAAUAUGCUGCCUGCAAGAAGUGCAAGGUUUUGUUCAAUGAAAAACCCACCCUAUUUUGAGCUUGUGAAGAGCUGUGGCUUGAAGACAUAAGCCUCUUUAUAUUUAAUAAUACACAUUACCGAUUUUUCCCACAGAAAACCUUCAGUGAACAGCCUUUUUUCGUUGAAAUCUUCUGUUGCAAAUAUUGGUUAUUCACUGGAAACAUAAAGCCCAAAAGAUGCGACCAAGCGAUUUUAUUAGAAGUUUCUAUUUCUGCAGCAAAGCGGACAUCUCCAAAAAGGCACAACCAAUUUGCUGUACACUGACUGUCAGCAGAAAAGCAACUCUGAUGCUAAGUUUUUAAUUAGCCCAUAUAAAUGUACAUGCAAAUGGGCAUUUCAAAGGGAAAAGUUAUCCCUCAAACAAAAACUCAUCAACGACAUAAGCUACGGGAAAACAGCAAGCAGGAAUGUUCUGAUCCUGACAUGUACAGCAGCAGAUAAGUAAGGCCAAGUUAUCUCCUCCUGCCCCACCAGGGCUCCCAAAUGUCCAGAAAAAAAGCUAUUUGUGAUACAGCUGCAGUGCCCAAGCUGCACUGCUGCUGAAGUACCAGGGACUGAGGUGCACACAAGACAGAAGGAAGACAAAGGGAAAGAGGAAGAUGAAUUAAUGAUCCGACACCAGUGAGAAAACAAGUACAAAUGCGGUCCCCAGAGUUAACACUGUGGGUUGCACGAGGAGCAGGAUCAAUAGGCGCUGUGCGGAGGGAGCCCAGCGCGGGGUUACGGCGGCCACAGUGGAAGUCCCCAGAUUACAAUAAGGCAGCUUGAAGGUGACAGAUUUCAUUGUUGAAGGUGAUAAAAUUCCAUGUGGCGUGCUGCAAAACAAGGGCUGGAGCUCAGCCUGCAGAAAAGGAGGCGGCACCGAGACGGCACAUGUGGGGAUUCUCCCCCUCUCCUCUCCAUGGAAAUUAGGACAGAAGUGCCCAAGCUGUGUGCCACGUUUCCUCACUUUUGUGUCUCUGUUCCCAUAGUGGAAGCACGUGAGGCAAAGCAGACAAAAUGUGGGGCCAUCCUCCAUGGAGCCCUGCAGCAGGCAGCAUGCUGCAGGCAGUGUUGGCAUGAACUAGUUGACCAUGGCACCCUCUGCUGCUUGUGCUUCACUGAAGUGGUCUCCCACAAUUCUGAUGAGGGCCACGCUAUCAUGAACA
ensembl:lncRNA